CCUACGGGUGGCAGCAGUAGGGAAUCUUCCACAAUGGGCGCAAGCCUGAUGGAGCAACACCGCGUGAGUGAAGAAGGGUUUCGGCUCGGAAAGCUCUGUUGUUGGAGAAGAACGUGCGUGAGCGUAACUGUUCACGCAGUGACGGUAUCCAACCAGAAAGUCACGGCUAACUACGUGCCAGCAGCCGCGGUAAGACGUAGGUGGCAAGCGUUAUCCGGAUUGAAUGGGCGUAAAGCGAGCGCAGGCGGUUGCGUAGGUCUGAUGUGAAAGCGUUAGGCUUAACCGAAGAAGUGCAUCGGAAACCGGGAGACUUGAGUGCAGAAGAGGACAGUGGAACUCGAUGUGUAGCGGUGGAAUGCGUAGAUAUAUGGCAGAACGCCAGUGGCGAAGGCGGCUGUCUGGUCUGCAACUGACGCUGAGGCUCGAAAGCAUGGGUAGCGAACAGGAUUAGAUACCCGGGUAGUC
rnacentral:rRNA from 1 species